CCCUACGCCAACGUACCUAGCGUAUCAUCACGUAAUUCACUAAUUGUUAACCAACCCUGGCUUCGAUCGGCAUGAUGUUCGCAGCCAACUUUACGCACAUCCCCAUUCACUCGCACGCCACCACCACGAUACCACGAUCCAUCCACCAGAAGCCCACUGCAGAACACACCAGAAUUAAAAAUUAAAUCUUUAAAAGAAAACGUGUGUUCUUCAUCUGGGAAUAUCUCCCUAUCGGCGAAACCGUCAACUUUUGGAUAUCGGUGGUGGCGUGCAUCGAACCAGCCGAUCAUGGAAAUAACCAUAACCACCAUCACACCGUACCCCCCCACCCCCUCAUGCAAUCGGUGUCAUCUUUCCCUGCCACCAACACAUUAGGGUGGCCUGCAACAAAACAUCGGGGAACGGCGAGGCUCCGCAGACGGCAACGAUGUGUCAGGACAGGUAGGAUUUCCAACGUGGGGAACACCCACGCCUGAGAUGUCUCAUGCCGGGCUCUAGGCGUUAUAUGGCCGCUGUAGGCUCGUAGUUGUUGUUGGCGUACUACUGGUAUUGACGAAGCCAUGGCCAUUCAGUGGAACUUGCGCGUGAAACGUAUUUGCGAAAAUCCAGCUCUGUCGGUCAUGAGGGUUGUCGUGCCAAUAUCUCUACCUGUCCUCAUGUUUCCAUUGACCCCUUCACCAUCACAAUAACCAGGUCGAAUGCCGUGGCCCAAAUCCACUCAGGUACCAUAAUCGUUGUGGUUGUCUCUAGUUAGUGUCCGUAGACAUUUGUUUUUUUCUUGAAUUAAAAAAAAACAACACAUGGCCAAAUGGAAAUGAUUGUGUUCCUUCUGGUUUAUGAAAACAUACAGGCAUAGUUUGUGAAUUUAGUGACAGUGGUCGAAUAUGAUUGUGGAAAUAAAUAAUAGAUACUGUCCCCGA